rnacentral:rRNA from 1 species
UUGUAAGGUGCAACUGCAUCACUAUGAGAUGGACCUGCGUUGUAUUAGCUAGUUGUUGAGGUGGAGAAACACCAAGGCGACGAUACAUAGCCGACCUGAGAGGGUGAACGGCCACACUGGGACUGAGACUCGGCCCUGACUCCUACGGGAGGCAGCAGUAGGGAAUCUUCGGCAAUGGUCUGAAGUCUGACCGAGCAACGCCGCGUGAGUGAAGAAGGUUUCGGAUCGUAAAGCUCCUGUGUAGGGAAGA